UACGUAGGGGGCAAGCGUUGUCCGGAAUCAUUGGGCGUAAAGAGCGUGUAGGCGGCCCGAUAAGUCCGCUGUGAAAGUCCAGGGCUCAACCCUGGGAUGCCGGUGGAUACUGUCGGGCUCGAGUCCGGAAGAGGAGUGUGGAAUCCCUGGUGUAGCGGUGAAAUGCGCAGAUAUCGGGAGGAACACCAAUUGCGAAGGCAGCUCGCUGGGACGUCACUGACGCUGAGACGCGAAAGCGUGGGGAGCAAACAGG
rnacentral:rRNA from 1 species